rnacentral:lncRNA from 1 species
AAUGGGUGGUGGUAGGGAUGUGGGUAAGGAUGUGGAGGAUACACAACAGGUGGAGGAGGAGAAUUAUAGUAAUAUGGAGGUGGAGUGUACUUGGGUGGUGGUGGGGAUUUAUAGUAGUAAGGUGUUGGUGGUGGUGGCGAUUUUACAGGAGGUGGUGGAGAAUUGUAGUAGUAAGGUGGAUGGGGGAUUGGAGAUGGAGGAGGAGGAGAUUUGUAAUAAUAAGGUGGUGGAGGAGAUGGUGAAGGUGGUGGAGGAGAUUUGUAAUAAUAUGGUGGCGGAGGAGACGGUGAAGGAGGUGGUGGGGAUUUAUAAUAAUAUGGUGGUGGAGGAGACGGUGAAGGAGGUGGUGGGGAUUUGUAAUAGUAUGGUGGGGCCUUGUGUUCAUAUGGUGGUGGAGGAGAUUUAUAGUAGUAAGGAGGUGGAGGUGAGGGAGAAGGUGGAGGAGGAGACUUGUAGUAGUAAGGUGGAGGAGGGGAGGGAGAGGGUGGUGGGGGAGAUUUGUAAUAGUAAGGAGGUGGAAGUGAUGGAGAGGGUGGUGGAGGAGACUUAUAGUAGUAUGGUGGAGGAGGGGAGGGUGAGGGUGGUGGGGGAGAUUUGUAGUAGUAAGGAGGUGGAGGUGAUGGAGAGGGCGGAGGCGGAGACUUGUAGUAGUAUGGUGGAGCCUUGUGCUCAUAUGGCGGGGGAGGAGACUUGUAAUAGUAAGGUGGGGGAGGGGAUGAAGAGGGUGGUGGGGGAGAUUUGUAGUAGUAAGGAGGUGGUGGGGAGGGAGAGGGUGGUGGAGGAGAUUUGUAGUAGUAUGGUGGAGGAGGGGAGGGUGAGGGUGGUGGGGGGGAUUUGUAGUAGUAAGGAGGUGGAGGGGAAGGAGAGGGUGGGGGAGGAGACUUGUAGUAGUAUGGUGGAGGAGGGGAAGGUGAGGGUGGUGGGGGAGAUUUGUAGUAGUAAGGAGGUGGAGGGGAGGGAGAGGGUGGAGGAGGAGACUUGUAGUAGUAUGGUGGAGGAGGGGAGGGUGAAGGUGGUGGGGGAGAUUUGUAGUAGUAAGGAGGUGGAGGUGAUGGAGAAGGUGGUGGAGGAGACUUGUAAUAGUAAGGUGGGGGAGGGGAUGGUGAUGGUGGAGGUGGAGACUUGUACUCAUAAGGAGGUGGUGGUGAAGGAGAUGGUGGUGGAGGUGACUUGUAUUCAUACGGUGGAGCCUUGUGCUCAUACGGAGGUGGAGGUGAUGGGGAAGGAGGUGGUGGAGACUUGUAUUCGUAAGGUGGUGGUGGUGAAGGAGAUGGUGGAGGAGGUGACUUGUACACAUAAGGUGGAGCUUUGUGCUCGUAUGGUGGUGGUGGUGAAGGAGAUGGUGGCGGAGGUGACUUGUACUCAUAAGAAGGUGGUGGAGGAGAAUAGUAUGGGUAACCAUCAGCAGCAACGGAAGCCACGGUAGUAGAAAUCAGAACAAUGGCCAAUGCCAUGGCCAUUUGCGGCCGAA